rnacentral:tRNA from 1 species
GGAGAGAUGGCUCAGUGGGUAAGAGCACCCGACUGCUCUUCUGAAGGUCCAGAGUUCAAAUCCCAGCAACCACA